rnacentral:rRNA from 1 species
AUUGAACGCUGGCGGCAAGCCUAACACAUGCAAGUCGAACGAGUGGCGGACGGGUGAGUAAUGUCUGGGAAACUGCCUGAUGUAGGGGGAUACCUACUGGAAACGGUAGCUAAUACCGCAUACCAUCGGAUGUGCCCAGAUGGGAUUAGCUAGUAGGUGGGGUAAAGGCUCACCUAGGCAACGAUCCCUAGCUGGUCUGAGAGGAUGACCAGCCACACUGGAACGGAGACACGGUCCAGACUCCUACGGGAGGCAGCAGUGGGGAAUAUUGCACAAUGGGGGCAAGCCUGAUGCAGCCAUGCCGCGUGUAUGAAGAAGGCCUUCGGGUUGUAAAGUACUUUCAGCGGGGAGGCGUUACCCGCAGAAGAAGCACCGGCUAACUCCGUGCCAGCAGCCGCGGUAAUUC